AACGUAAUAAUUACAACUUUCAACAACGGAUCUCUUGGUUCUGGCAUCGAUGAAGAACGCAGCGAAAUGCGAUAAGUAGUGUGAAUUGCAGAAUUCAGUGAAUCAUCGAAUCUUUGAACGCACAUUGCGCCCUUUGGUAUUCCAAAGGGCAUGC
rnacentral:rRNA from 1 species